CCUACGGGAGGCAGCAGUGAGGAAUAUUGGUCAAUGGGCGAGAGCCUGAACCAGCCAAGUCGCGUGAAGGAUGACGGCCCUACGGGUUGUAAACUUCUUUUGUCAGGGAGCAAUUGGGUCCACGCGUGGGCUUAGCGAGAGUACCUGAAGAAAAAGCAUCGGCUAACUCCGUGCCAGCAGCCGCGGUAAUACGUAGGGGGCAAGCGUUAUCCGGAUUUACUGGGUGGAAAGGGAGCGCAGACGGCUGUGCAAGUCUGGUGUGAAAGGCGGGGGCUCAACCCGCGGACUGCCCUGGAUACUGUCAGGCUGGAGUGCAGGAGAGGUGAGCAGAAUUCCUAGUGUAGCGGUGAAAUGCGUAGAGAUUAGGAGGAACACCAGUGGCGAAGGCGGCUUACUGGACUGCAACUGACGUUGAGGCUCGAAAGCGUGGGGAGCAAACAGGAUUAGAUACCCGUGUAGUC
rnacentral:rRNA from 1 species